CCAUUGUUCAAUUGGUAGAGCACAAGGAUCUUAACCUUGUGUACGUGGGUUCAAGCCCCAUGGUGGG
rnacentral:tRNA from 1 species